CAGUAGGUAGUUUAUUUUUAAAAUGUAGUAUUUGGGUUACUGAGAAUUUUUACUGA
rnacentral:tRNA from 1 species